AGCGAACACACAUGGGGUCCAGCAGCAUCCAGCUCCUAGGUGACCAGAGCAGAGGACCAGGGAUGAGCAGCUGCUCAGCAUGCCCUUGCCUUUCACCUCUGUCUCCAGCUCCUGUUACUGUUGACCCUGUUGCAGAGGCCCUGGCAGUGCAGAGAUGAACCAGACACCAUCCCUGUUCUCAGGCUGCUCACAGACUUGAGAGGAAGACAGACAUGGAAACUGGCCAAACAAAGUACAAAUUUGACUGGUGGCUGCCUGCUUUCAACCUCUCUGGUGGAGAGAAUUCAAGCAACAGAGCAGCUGAGCACUAGACAAGACGCACCCCUACAACUCUAGCUGGAGAGCCUGAGGUUGGCUGUAGCAAAUGGCUCAAGUCUCUUAUUCCUCCACUCCCACCCAAUACCUGCCCCACAGAGCUUGGAAGACAGGCCUCACUUCCCUAUUUCCCUCCCCAGAUCACUGUGAGGACUUACUGAUACAUGUCUGCAGAUCAUGCAAUGAUGAGAAAUAGGGCUAUAAAUAUACAAGGAUCAUGCGACCAUCAGACUUACAACCUUAUGUCAGACCCUGCCCCAACUCAAGUUCUCUUCCAUGCAGGAGUUCAAACUUCAGACCAGAGCUCCUUUCUGUGCCCAUAAAUAUCCCAAAACUUUCCAGGCCUCUCUGCUCCCUGCCCCUGGCCACAGUCUUGGCUCUGGCCCAUUUCCCCCACUGCCUCCAACCCUCACCAACUCCUGUCCUUGCAGCUGCCUUGAUAAAGAAGAAUUUCCCACCUCCUUCCAGCUUUCAGUCCUUUGCCUUCUCCUCAAAUUUGUCACAGACUGGCCAGCCUAUCUGGAGGCCAGCAUGCCCACUCUCCGCUUUAUCACCUCUGCUCUAAGGGCCUACAGAAUGACUCUGAAGUUGGACAGACCUGGAACUGAAUCCCUACCCUACCUCUCAGUAGAUGAAUAAAUAACCGUAGGCACUUCACUUAACCUCUCUGUGCUUCAAUUUCCACAUCUGUGGAAAGGGAAUAUCAGUAAUGCUUAUUGCCUCAGGUAGGCAUAAGGAAUAAAUGAAAUUAAGCCCUUGAAGAUUAUUAACCUCAAUGCCAGGUAGAAGAUCUGGGGCCCAGAAAGACAAAGGCGGGAGGCCAUGGUCACACAGCAUGUCUGUGAAAGAA